UACUGCUUACAGCUGUCUGGCUGGUAAUAAGUAGACAAUUUGGUGCAAAAAACCAGAUUCUAUCAUUGCUGUCCCUGAACCAGAAACUUUCUUGGAAAUCUAGUGAUACUUGCUGCUGCCUGGGUUUGACCUGCUUGUGAGUGAGCACUUGUGAUCUUCUAAGGUGGUUCUGUGCUUUUGCAGUGCAUUAUAAGAAAUGAAACAUGAAAGACAGUCUUGGCUAAAUUUGAGCACUACUGCGAGGACCCUGAGCUGUGUACCGACAUCCCCUCCUUCUGGUGCAAGUGGGCAUCUUGGAAACUCUCUGCAACCACUUUUUCUGGGAGCUGGUUCUGUGGUAGGAUUCAUUCGCCUGGAGUCAUAAAGGGCUUAUGUGUAUUAUGUAUCUUAUUAUUGUGUAUUAAAAUUGUACAAUACAUGCAUUUUAUUCAUAAUACUAAUCUGGAGAGGUGGUGCUUUAUAUUCAGUAUCCUCUAUAAAUAUGUACUGCAUACAUAAGUGUUUGUGCAAGAACAUUAACAAAUUUGUACUUACCCGAUUGCUAACUGUUGCAUGACAGAUGUGUAGCACUUGGAAUAUUUAACCUGAAGUGUUUUACUGUCAUUUUCGUGCAUGAAUGUGUAAAUAUUUUUUCCAGAUAUAAGUGGACACUUCAUCGUGAUUGUAGUAUGAAUUGAUAUUAGUUUUUAAAUGUAGUAGAAAGGGGUUGAUUCAGCACAAUCAUGAAGUAUGUACAUACUGAAAUUGUAUGAAAGACUGUUAUCUGUGGUCUAUGAAUACCGUUGCUCUGUUUUGAAUGGCCCUGUUCCAAGUAUUCCAAACAUCUAUGGGUGUUUAAAUCAAAGCAUCAUAAUGAAAUGAAGACUGAUAUGCUUAAGUUGAAUUUUCGGAGUUAAAGUGGGGUGGAAAUGUGGAUUUCUGUUUAAUGAAAUAAAUUGGUUCCUGUUGAAUGACA